rnacentral:rRNA from 1 species
GACGAACGCUGGCGGCGUGCUUAACACAUGCAAGUCGAGCGGUAAGGCCCUUUCGGGGGUACACGAGCGGCGAACGGGUGAGUAACACGUGGGUGACCUGCCCUCAGCUCUGGGAUAAGCCUGGGAAACCGGGUCUAAUACUGGAUAUGACUCCAUGACGCAUGUUGUGGGGUGGAAAGCCUUGUGCGGCUGAGGAUGGGCCCGCGGCCUAUCAGCUUGGUUGGUGGGGUGANGGCCUACCAAGGCGACGACGGGUAGCCGGCCUGAGAGGGCGACCGGCCACACUGGGACUGAGACACGGCCCAGACUCCGUACGGGAGGCAGCAGGUGGGGAAUCUUGCGCAAUGGGCGAAAGCCUGACGCAGCGACGCCGCGUGA